rnacentral:rRNA from 1 species
UAGAGUUUGGANCUGGCUCAGGACGAACGCUGGCGGCGUGCCUAAUACAUGCAAGUCGUACGCUUCUUUUUCCACCGGAGCUUGCUCCACCGGAAAAAGAAGAGUGGCGAACGGGUGAGUAACACGUGGGUAACCUGCCCAUCAGAAGGGGAUAACACUUGGAAACAGGUGCUAAUACCGUAUAACAAUCGAAACCGCAUGGUUUUGAUUUGAAAGGCGCUUUCGGGUGUCGCUGAUGGAUGGACCCGCGGUGCAUUAGCUAGUUGGUGAGGUAACGGCUCACCAAGGCCACGAUGCAUAGCCGACCUGAGAGGGUGAUCGGCCACAUUGGGACUGAGACACGGCCCAAACUCCUACGGGAGGCAGCAGUAGGGAAUCUUCGGCAAUGGACGAAAGUCUGACCGAGCAACGCCGCGUGAGUGAAGAAGGUUUUCGGAUCGUAAAACUCUGUUGUUAGAGAAGAACAAGGAUGAGAGUAACUGUCNUCCCUGACGGUAUCNNNC